rnacentral:rRNA from 1 species
GAUGAACGCUGGCGGCGUGCCUAAUACAUGCAAGUCGAGCGAACGGACGAGAAGCUUGCUUCUCUGAUGUUAGCGGCGGACGGGUGAGUAACACGUGGAUAACCUACCUAUAAGACUGGGAUAACUUCGGGAAACCGGAGCUAAUACCGGAUAAUAUUUUGAACCGCAUGGUUCAAAAGUGAAAGACGGUCUUGCUGUCACUUAUAGAUGGAUCCGCGCUGCAUUAGCUAGUUGGUAAGGUAACGGCUUACCAAGGCAACGAUGCAUAGCCGACCUGAGAGGGUGAUCGGCCACACUGGAACUGAGACACGGUCCAGACUCCUACGGGAGGCAGCAGUAGGGAAUCUUCCGCAAUGGGCGAAAGCCUGACGGAGCAACGCCGCGUGAGUGAUGAAGGUCUUCGGAUCGCAAAACUCUGUAUUAGGGAAGAACAUAUGUGUAAGUAACUGUGCACAUCUUGACGGUACCUAAUCAGAAAGCCACGGCUAACUACGUG